AUACUUACCUGGCAGGGGGGAUCCAGUCAUAAAAUUUGGGUUUUCCCAGGGCAAAGGCCCCUCCAUUCACUCCCGGGGGUGCUGACCCCCGCGAUUUUCCCCCAAAAGCGGGAAACUAGGGAUAAUUUGUGGUAGGGGGACUGGGUUGGCUCUCCCCCGGU